rnacentral:rRNA from 1 species
UACGUAGGGUGCGAGCGUUGUCCGGAAUUAUUGGGCGUAAAGGGCUCGUAGGCGGUUUGUCGCGUCGGGAGUGAAAUCAUCUGGCUUAACUGGGUGCUUGCUUUCGAUACUGCCAUGACUAGAGGUCGGUAGGGGAGUGUGGAAUUCCUGGUGGAGCGGUGAAAUGCGCAGAUAUCAGGAGGAACACCCGUAGCGAAGGCGGCACUCUGGGCCGAUUCUGACACUGAGGAGCGAAAGCGUGGGGAGCGAACAGG